AUGAUCAACCUUUAUAGGAUCACUUCUCUAGUGCGAUUGCCGGGUUUCUCGCCGAGAUUCUCGGAAUAUGUUCAAACCACGAUGAGGACUGUUAGUGUAAUCCUUGAGCGGGAAGCAGCCUCACAGGUUUUGCUUGCGAGAAGGAAUUUGAUGGACCGUUCUUUUGACUCGGUUUACCGAGUUAGAGGAGGAUCACACAGGCGAGUGGU